rnacentral:rRNA from 1 species
GACGUAGGAGGCGAGCGUUGUCCGGAUUCAUUGGGCGUAAAGAGCACGCAGGCGGUUUGGCAAGUCGGAUGUGAAAGCCCCGGAGCUCAACUCCGGACCUGCAUCCGAAACUGCCCGACUAGAGGUAGGUGAGGGGAGAUCGGAAUUCCUGGUGUAGCGGUGAAAUGCGCAGAUAUCAGGAGGAACACCGGUGGCGAAGGCGGAUCUCUGGGCCUUAGCCUGACGCUCAGGUGCGAAAGCUAGGGGAGCGAACAGG